GGCUGGUUAGCUCAGUUGGUUAGAACAUGGUGCUAAUAACACCAGUGUCCAGGGUUCAAUCCCCGUACCAGCCA